UGGUCUCUCCCUCAUGUCAAAGGAGGGACUUAGUGAGCACAUGGAAUCUUACCGGUCAUUCUUCUUGCAACCAAAAUGCUAUUUGUGCUGAAAGACAAAGUUAAUGUUAUGAGUAUGCCAUAUUCUCCUUUUACGAGCACAUAGCCAGACGAACCCAGAUGUGCCAUUGAGGCGAAUUGAGCGUGCAACCAAGCGAACAGUCCAGUUUACUGAUUUCCAUCAUGGUUGAUUACACUAGUAACCAUUAGUAUUUUGUUAUAAUUAAUACUGCUGUAAUGGGGUGUGACUAGUUGUUAUGCUGCUACAGGUAAAGCUGUAUGGUGAAUUGUAGAGAGAGUUAAUCAGUUUACUGAUUUCAUUAUGAAUUGAUUACUGCAGUAAUCAUUAAUAUUUUGUUAUAAUCAAUAUUGUUGUAAUGGGGUGUGAGUGGUAGUUAUGCUACCAGAGGUAUAUAGUGUUGCGAAUGGCAGAGUGGGAAUGGUGACAGGCUAAUCAAAUUCCUGUUAAAAAAUGCUCAUGUGCCGGAGGCGUGAGAGGAUUUGACUGUAAAUGGCGGGAGAGGGAGAGAGGAAGCUGAUUGGUCCAGCGUGGCGAAAACAAAGAGGGAGAGAUG